AUCCGGCUGACGGGUCCCGAAUAGGACGAAACGCGCGUCCUGGAU
rnacentral:hammerhead_ribozyme from 1 species